rnacentral:rRNA from 1 species
GAUGAACGCUGGCGGCGUGCCUAAUACAUGCAAGUCGAGCGAACAGACGAGGAGCUUGCUCCUUCGACGUUAGCGGCGGACGGGUGAGUAACACGUAGGUAACCUACCUAUAAGACUGGGAUAACUUCGGGAAACCGGAGCUAAUACCGGAUAAUAUUUCGAACCGCAUGGUUCGAUAGUGAAAGAUGGCUUUGCUAUCACUUAUAGAUGGACCUGCGCCGUAUUAGCUAGUUGGUAAGGUAACGGCUUACCAAGGCAACGAUACGUAGCCGACCUGAGAGGGUGAUCGGCCAAACUGGAACUGAGACACGGUCCAGACUCCUACGGGAGGCAGCAGUAGGGAAUCUUCCGCAAUGGGCGAAAGCCUGACGGAGCAACGCCGCGUGAGUGAUGAAGGUCUUCGGAUCGUAAAACUCUGUUAUUAGGGAAGAACAAACGUGUAAGUAACUGUGCACGUCUUGACGGUACCUAAUCAGAAAGCCACGGCUAACUACGUG